rnacentral:misc_RNA from 1 species
GGAAGGAUCAUUACUGUGUAUAACCGAGGGCCGCUUGACGGCCCUCAAAAACACACCUUAUCACACCGUGAACCGUGGCUUCGGCCCAAACUGUUUUCAUAUGUACCGAGAAUGUAUCCAUUAGGAAAUAAGAACAUGACAAAACUUUCAACAACGGAUCUCUAGGCUCUCGCAUCGAUGAAGAACGCAGCGAAUUGCGAAAAGUAAUGUGAAUUGCAGAAUUCAGUGAAUCAUCGAGUCUUUGAACGCAUCUUGCGCCCUCUGGUAUUCCGGAGGGCAUGCCUGUUUGAGUGUCGUGAACACCUCACCCCUUUGGGUUUUCGGACCCGAUCGCCGGUGGAUUUGGGCGUUGCCACCUGACCGUGGCUCGCCUCAAAAGCGUUAGCUGGUCGGAAUGGGCGUGAUAAGUUUCGUCCGCGUCGGCUGCUUCUAAUGAUCCCGCGAGGGAUGUCUCCUCUGGGGGCAUGCAUUUUACGAUCUGACCUCAAAUCAGGUAGGGCUACCCGCUGAACUUAAGCAUAUCAAUAAGCGGAGGAAAAGAAACUAACCAGGAUUCCCUUAGUAACGGCGAGUGAACCGGGAAGAGCUCAAAUUUGUAAUCUGGCGUCCUCCGGGCGUCCGAGUUGUAAUCUAAAGAGGCGUUUUCCGCGCCGGACCGCGUCCAAGUCCCCUGGAAUGGGGUAUCAAAGAGGGUGAGAAUCCCGUGCUUGACGCGACGACCGGUGCUCUGUGAUGCGUCCUCGACGAGUCGAGUUGUUUGGGAAUGCAGCUCUAAAUGGGUGGUAAAUUCCAUCUAAGGCUAAAUAUUGGCGAGAGACCGAUAGCGAACAAGUACCGUGAGGGAAAGAUGAAAAGCACUUUGGAAAGAGAGUUAAACAGCACGUGAAAUUGUUGAAAGGGAAACGAUUGAAGUCAGUCGUGCGCGUGGUAUUCAGCCGUCUCUGGCGGUGCACUUGCCACGCGCGGGUCAACGUCGGUUCGGGCCGGCGGAAAAUGGCAGGGGGAAGGUGGCACCUCCGGGUGUGUUAUAGCCUCCUGUCGUAUACGUCGGCUGGGACCGAGGACUGCAGCUCGCCCUCCGGGGCCGGGGGUUCGCCUCACGUACCGAGCUUAGGAUGUUGGCAUAAUGGCUUUAAACGACCCGUCUUGAAACACGGACCAAGGAGUCUAACAUGUAUGCGAGUGUUUGGGUGUCAAACCCGUGACGCGGAAUGAAAGUGAACAGGAGGGAUCCGAACAGGAGCACCUUCGACCGAUCCAGACGUUCUCUGACGGAUUUGAGUAAGAGCAUAUAUGCUGGGACCCGAAAGAUGGUGAACUAUGCCUGAAUAGGGUGAAGCCAGGGGAAACCCUGGUGGAGGCUCGUAGCGAUUCUGACGUGCAAAUCGAUCGUCAAAUUUGGGUAUAGGGGCGAAAGACUAAUCGAACCAUCUAGUAGCUGGUUCCUGC